rnacentral:rRNA from 1 species
UAGGGAAUAUUGGUUAAUGGGCGAAAGCCCGAACCAGCAACGCCGCGUGUGCGAUGAAGGCCUUCGGGUUGUAAAGCACUUUUAGAGGGGAUGAGUAAGGACAGUACCCUCAGAAUAAGCCUCGGCUAACUACGUGCCAGCAGCCGCGGUAAAACGUAGGAGGCGAGCGUUAUCCGGAUUUACUGGGCGUAAAGCGCGUGCAGGUGGUUCGGUAAGUUGGAUGUGAAAGCUCCCGGCUAAACUGGGAGAGGUCGUUCAAUACUGCCGGACUAGAGGAUGGGAGAGGAAGGUGGAAUUCCGAGUGUAGUGGUGAAAUGCGUAGAUAUUCGGAGGAACACCAGUGGCGAAAGCGGCCUUCUGGCCCAUAUCUGACACUAAGACGCGAAAGCUAGGGGAGCGA